UAUACAAGACUAUAAAUGAUAAAAGUAUUUAAUCAUUGGUAUCUUCCUAUUGGUCCAAUUCUUGUUUGUAACUCAACAGUCUGGCAUUUUCAUGUAGAAGAGCAGAUUAACGAGAAGAAAACCUAUAUCUUCAUAUUAAUUUGCUGAUGAACUCUGACCCAUCAAUAGACUUGGCUAAUUGUAAUUGGAAAGAUGUUUGUAACGGGUAUUGGCCAGAUAGCAGAGGCUUCUCCUCUUUUCAUUCAUGGUGGGCUAGUUUAAAAUAAUUCAUUUCAAUAAUUAAUAAUGCAUCAUUUCAUUUGCGUAUACGUUGUUCUUCUCUAUUUAGGGCAUUUGGAGAAGCCCGUAAUGUUGCUACGACUGAAGGCAGUACAAGGGAAAUUUUUUUGAAAGCGCAGGUCAAGGAACCCAGCUCAGACUGUCCUGACAACACUAUAAAUGCAAGCUACUGCUCAAUGGACUCCUCCACAGAAAGACGUAUUAAAAAAUUCAAUUCGGAUGCAGCGUCAAAACCAGGGUCAGUUGAUGUUCGUAGAAACUGGAGAGGUACCAAAUUUGAUAGAUGGCUCGUGCUGGAGAAUAUCAGUAUUGUCCAUUUUGUUAGCAGAGGCGCAUGCUCUUCUUAUGGAAGUAAAACUUUUGCAACAAAAUGCAGAGGCUCAAAGCUUGUUUACUUAUAAAAAUCUACAGUCAGUUUUUUAAAAUAAAUUUCAAAUGAAUAAAUUAGUUGAUACUA